rnacentral:rRNA from 1 species
AACGAACGCUGGCGGCGUGCCUAACACAUGCAAGUCGUACGAGAAAGUCCUUCGGGAUGAGUAGAGUGGCGCACGGGUGAGUAAUGCAUGGGAACGUGCCAUUUGGUUUGGGAUAACCACGGGAAACUGUGGCUAAUACCGGAUGGUCUCGAGAGAGUAAAGAUGGCCUCUGAUUUCAAGCUAUCGCCGAUUGAUCGGCCCAUGUCCCAUUAGCUAGUUGGUGAGGUAAUAGCUCACCAAGGCGACGAUGGGUAGCUGGUCUGAGAGGAUGAUCAGCCACACUGGAACUGAGACACGGUCCAGACUCCUACGGGAGGCUG